ensembl:lncRNA
CGGCUACGGCGGCGGCUUCCCGCGCGCACGCACGUACACACACAGGCACACAAACACACAUAAACGCACAUGCACGCACACCCAGCUGUAGGCACACGGGCACGCACGUGCGCACACGCGCACACGGAGAUGCGGCGGCCCCGAGGCCAGCCUGCUGCUCCAGCUCGUGGGUGGAGGGGACACCGCCCGCCUACCCGACCCGUCCCGGCUCGCCAUCCACACGGGGCGCCUCCGCCUGCAGUCCCUGCCGCUCCAAAAGCGCAGCUUCCGAGGGUGACCUGCUGGCUAGGAACCCGAGGGCCAUCACAUCCAGAGAGAAGCAUGAAAGUUCAGACGUCACCAUGACAACCAGAGGAAGAAACCUGAGAGGAGGCUCACCCAUCCCUCUUGGUUAUAACGCUCAAGAAUGAAGGUUUGCUGGUUCAUUGGUGAUUAGGAAACAGGAACUGUGAAACCUAUAUACCAAGGUGAGGCUUGCUGGUGCUGGCAACUUACCCAGACCUUGGCGUUACUCUGGCCAUGGAAUACACUCAGGAGACCAUGGAGUUAGCAGAAAAGUCUUUGUAUAAAAGGAUCCUGAGAAUGGAACUCCUGGAGAUUUUCUGUGAAGCUGAUGUUUCCCUGGAGGGGGAACUGGUCACUUGCAUUAGCACAGACUCCUGAGCGAUCUGUGCUGGAUGCACAAUAUGCCUCAGGCACCAGUCAUUACAAAUCAGGGUUCUCUUCACUGACCCUUUGUCAGAAGGCAUCUCAUACCAGUUUAUAUAGAUAACAUUUGGCUUCAGAAGUGAUCACAGGGCUUGCCCCCAGCAUCUGCUCUUUGCUCACCCUCACCCCAC